UAGUCUUGGGGCUGGCGGCGC
rnacentral:misc_RNA from 1 species